rnacentral:tRNA from 1 species
UGCGGGGUGGAGCAGUCUGGUAGCUCGUCGGGCUCAUAACCCGAAGGUCGUUGGUUCGAAUCCAGCUCCCGCUACCA